UUCAACUGUAAGGUGUUGAGAAUACCAGUCCGCUUUCAGAGUCGACAAAAGGCGUUGAAGGGCCUUCACAGUUGUCUCGCAGGGACACACACAGGUGGCAGUGAACAGGUCUGUCCACUAUGCAUGGUGACCUGAUGCCCCGAGGAAGGGACACACCUUUAUUUACCAAGACUUCUGACCCGGCAGGAAAUCAAGACAAUGACAAAAGUCCUAAAACGUAUGAUCGUCUACCGUUAGUUCAAGACGCAUAAUGAAUAGUCAUAAUUGUUUAACAGUGUGAGGGUAUGAUAAUUACUAAAAAUAGACAUUCUGUGAAGCAUUUGCAUGUUUAAUGACAUAAAAACACAAUAAAUGUGAUUCACUGAUGUUGCUAUGAA